UCCACGUUCACCUCGAUGUCAUGACCGUC
rnacentral:piRNA from 1 species